rnacentral:rRNA from 1 species
CGGGGUGAGUAACGCGUGGAUAACCUGCCUCACACAGGGGGAUAACAGUUAGAAAUGACUGCUAAUACCGCAUAAGCGCACAGUACCGCAUGGUAUAGUGUGAAAAACUCCGGUGGUGUGAGAUGGAUCCGCGUCUGAUUAGGUAGUUGGUGAGGUAACGGCCCACCAAGCCGACGAUCAGUAGCCGACCUGAGAGGGUGACCGGCCACAUUGGGACUGAGACACGGCCCAA